UCUCCAAUUUGACAUAAUCUUCUCUAACCAAAUUAAGUUGCAGAAACAUAUAAUUAACCUAAAAUUCUGAUACAAAGAAGUAAACAUAUUAAAAUAAUUAAAUUAUAAAGCACUGAUUUCAAAAUGUCUUGCCAAGAGACCGCUGUCCCCGAAAACUGAAUAUCACACAAUCCCAGUCCUGCACGAAACACUAACACGAAGUAGCUACAUGUACGAACACGCUGUGAGGCAAUGGGUCAGUGAGCCACGCUUCCUGCGGGAAAGGCCAGCCGUCAACCCACUCGGAAUUAUAUAGAGGGAUUGUGAAGGCAUCAACACUCCACCCACGAAGAGUUCUCACUACAAAUAAUCACCUAAAAUUCAACAACAUCUGAAUCUAUAAAAGAUAGUAGCCAUGACAUACCCAAAUCCAAUUCAAGGGUAAAAUCUGACGCCCUAAGAUCAAAGACUGAACAGGUAACAAACACUAUAAACCAACUAGGCCUGCGAACAAUUUAUCGCCAAUAAAAUACUGGACUAGCUAAAAUCUUAUAUUCAAUAGCGUUGGCCAUAAAACGAUGUGAACACUAAGAUAUAUUGAGAGCGGAUACAAUUGAAGAUCAUCUUAGUAUUCAGCACUUUAGCGGCUGUAAUUGAGGGUUUUAUUUAUAAGUUGAAAAUUGUGGCUAACGUUCCAUUCGCAAUCGUGGAUUGUAUGCAAGCGCUCGGACCGUGUGUGAAACUGUGGAUUUAUAUAGAGCUGAUAGGUGUAACUAUUUAUUUUUGAUUUCUUAGUUUUUAUGUCUGUGAUUACUACUAGUGGUGAUAUUGUAUUGUUUUCUCUACUGAUCUUG